rnacentral:lncRNA from 1 species
AAUAGAUAUUAUUUUAAAAUAUGAUUAUAUUUAAUAUUAGUAUAUGAGUAAAAAAAAAGUUGUUUAGAAAUAUUAGAUUUUUUAUUAAUUUAUAUCGUAGUUUGUUUACAUUUUAAUGUAAUAGAUCUCUUAUAAUAUUCCAUAAGUUUGAAAGGAUGUAUCAUUUUUUAUUUUAUUAGUGUAAUAAUAUAAGAUUUUAGUUUUCUUUAUAUGAGUUGCAAUUUUAUAGUCAAAUGUCACUUUGUUUUUUAUUUUUGAUGUAUCCCUUAUUUUAUUAUUUUCAAUAAGAGUUGGAGGCAUACCUAAUUAUACUUGUAGACAAUAUUGCUCAUGAGAAAUGUUAAAAAAAGUUUUAAUUAUAGAAUAUGAUUCAUAUAUGGUGGCUUUGACUAUUUAUUCCACGUGUUCUCAUUUUUUGAAAAUUAUGUAUCAAAUAGCAUAUUUUGCUUACUACGUUCUAUGCAAUUUAAGGUUCCAAAUAGCUUAUCU